CGGGUCAUAGGAUUCGGUGACGCAGCUAACGCAUUAAGCACACCGCCUGGGGAGUACGGUCGCAAGAUUAAAACUCAAAGGAAUUGACGGGGACCCGCACAAGCGGUGGAGCAUGUUGUUUAAUUCGAAGCAACGCGAAGAACCUUACCUACACUUGACAUACUCGUCGGGGAUUACAGAGAUGUUUUCCUUCGGUUCGGCCGGACGAUGUACAGGUGCUGCACGGCUGUCGUCAGCUCGUGUCGUGAGAUGUUUGGUUAAGUCCAGCAACGAGCGCAACCCCUAUCGUAUGUUACCAGCAUUUAGUUGGGGACUCAUGCGAGACUGCCGGUGUUAAGCCGGAGGAAGGUGGGGACGACGUCAAGUCAUCAUGGCCCUUACGUGUAGGGCUACAAACGUGCUACAAUGGCUACUACAGUGAGCAGCAAAGUCGCGAGGCUAAGCUAAUCUCUAAAAGUAGUCUCAGUUCGGAUAGGACUCUGCAACUCGAGUCCUUGAAGUCGGAAUCGCUAGUAAUCGUGGAUCAGCAUGCCACGGUGAAUACGUUCCCGGGUCUUGUACACACCGCCCGUCACACCAUGGGAGUUGGUUUUACCCGAAGGCGCCGCGCUAACUUUGGAGGCAGGCGACCACGGUAGGGUCAGCGACUG
rnacentral:rRNA from 1 species